rnacentral:lncRNA from 1 species
GAAAGGUCAAUGGGUGAGCCAAAAAACAUGAGCGAAGCUCGGCCGAUCUGCCACGGUCAAAAUAAAAAACCUUCUCCGAUGAGUCCUUUCCCACUUUUCGUUCCCCUUGAUUUUUUGAUCAUUGUGUUCCUCGUUCUUUUUUUAUGCAGGUUAGUCGAAGGAGAACCCCGGUCAUGAAGUAGGAACAGAGGAGCUGCCACACUCAGAGAAUCUUCUGC